ACGGAAGGCAGCAGUGGGGGAUAUUGCACAAUGGGGGAAACCCUGAUGCAGCGACGCCGCGUGAGUGAAGAAGUAUUUCGGUAUGUAAGGCUCUAUCAGCAAGGAAGAAAAUGACGGUACUUGACUAAGAAGCUCCGGCUAAAUACGUGCCAGCAGCCGCGGUAAUACGUAUGGAGCAAGCGUUAUCCGGAUUUACUGGGUGUAAAGGGAGCGUAGACGGCAAAGCAAGUCUGAAGUGAAAUCCCGGGGCUCAACCCCGGAACUGCUUUGGAAACUGUUUAGCUAGAGUGCAGGAGAGGUAAGCGGAAUUCCUAGUGUAGCGGUGAAAUGCGUAGAUAUUAGGAGGAACACCAGUGGCGAAGGCGGCUUACUGGACUGUAACUGACGUUGAGGCUCGAAAGCGUGGGGAGCAAACAGGAUUAGAUACCCUGGUA
rnacentral:rRNA from 1 species